AAGAGUUAGGGUCCUCUGGGCCCGACCUCCCAACCCUUUGUUUACCGAACCUCUGUUGCUUCGGCGGACCCGCUUCACGGCCGCCGGAGGACCGCCCCUGGGCGUCCUCUGGCCAGCGUCCGCCGAUAGCCAACUCUCAAAAUUCUUGAAUAAUCCAUGUUAUUGUCUAAGUUAUGAUGCAAAUCAAUUAAAGCA
rnacentral:misc_RNA from 1 species